rnacentral:tRNA from 3 species
CGGUGUGUGGCGCAGCCUGGUAGCGCACUUGCAUGGGGUGCAAGGGGUCGUAGGUUCGAAUCCUAUCACACCGACCA